rnacentral:misc_RNA from 1 species
GAAAUGCGAUAAUUAAUGUGAAUUGCAGAAUUCAGUGAAUCAUCGAGUCUUUGAACGCACAUUGCGCCCCCUGGUAUUCCGGGGGGCAUGCCUGUCCGAGCGUCAUUGCUGCCCUCAAGCACGGCUUGUGUGUUGGGCUUCCGUCCCUGGCAACGGGGACGGGCCCAACAGGCAGUGGCGGCACCAUGUCUGGUCCUCGAGCGUAUGGGGCUUUGUCACCCGCUCCCGUAGGUCCAGCUGGCAGCUAGCCUCGCAACCAAUCUUUUUAACCAGGUUGACCUCGGAUCAGGUAGGGAUACCCGCUGAACUUAAGC